rnacentral:rRNA from 1 species
AUUGAACGCUGGCGGCAGGCCUAACACAUGCAAGUCGAAUGGUAACAGGAAACAUCUUGCUGUUUCGCUGACGAGUGGCGGACGGGUGAGUAAUGUCUGGGAAACUGCCUGAUGGAGGGGGAUAACUACUGGAAACGGUAGCUAAUACCGCAUAACGUCGCAAGACCAAAGAGGGGGACCUUCGGGCCUCUUGCCAUCAGUUGUGCCCAGAUGGGAUUAGCUAGUAGGUGGGGUAACGGCUCACCUAGGCGACGAUCCCUAGCUGGUCUGAGAGGAUGACCAGCCACACUGGAACUGAGACACGGUCCAGACUCCUACGGGAGGCAGCAGUGGGGAAUAUUGCACAAUGGGCGCAAGCCUGAUGCAGCCAUGCCGCGUGUAUGAAGAAGGCCUUCGGGUUGUAAAGUACUUUCAGCGGGGAGGAAGGGAGUAAAGUUAAUACCUUUGCUCAUUGACGUUACCCGCAGAAGAAGCACCGGCUAACUCCGUG